ensembl:lncRNA
GUUUUUUCAUGGUGGGCCUUAUGCUGCCUGUUUCCGAGCCUCCUGGGGAUCUUAUUAAGAUGUGUACAUUCCUCACAAAGCAACUGACUCAGAUUUCAGGAGGGAGGACUCGGGGCUCUGCACUGUUAACAAUCAAGGUUUGAUGACCACAGAUACCUGAAGACUGAUCAAGCAAACUCAAAGUUAUCAUCCUCAUGUGAAGGCUGCACGGACCAUAGGCAAUGGACAGUGCUUCUACCCAAGACCACGUUUAAGUGCACUGAAAUGCUGAACGCCUAAGGACUUCCGCUACCUUGGACCCGAGAGACUAUAUGAUACCACAUGAAAUGUCCAACAGAUAUAGGUACUGUUCUGGACCGUGAACAAAUCCUACUGUCGUGGAGUUAUAUUCUGGUGAAUUCACACCACUACCCUAAAAGGCAACUAUUCAGUCUCGCUCUCACCAGUACAGAAAUGACAAUUUUACUCUCAUAGUAUGCUUGAGACCCCUGCACUGUCCAGUGUUUAAGUAGCAUAGGAUUUGCACAUUACCAUCCUACUCUAUCUGAAGCUAGC